rnacentral:rRNA from 1 species
CAAUAGCGUAUAUUUAAGUUGUUGCAGUUAAAAAGCUCGUAGUUGGAUUUCGGUUAAGAGCGACCGGUCCGCCGUUUGGUGUGCACUGGUUGGUUUUAACUUCCUGUAGAGGACGUGCUCUGGGUUUAACGACCUGGACUCGGAGUCUACGUGGUUACUUUGAAAAAAUUAGUGUGUUCAAAGCGGGCUUACGCUUGAAUAUUUCAGCAUGGAAUAACACUAUAGGACUCCUGUCCUAUUUCGUUGGUCUCGGGACGGGAGUAAUGAUUAAGAGGAACAGUUGGGGGCAUUCGUAUCUCAUUGUCAGAGGUGAAAUUCUUGGAUUUAUGAAAGACGAACUUCUGCGAAAGCAUUUGCCAAGGAUGUUUUCAUUA